rnacentral:rRNA from 1 species
AGUGAACGCUGGCGGUAGGCCUAACACAUGCAAGUCGAACGGCAGCACAGUAAGAGCUUGCUCUUACGGGUGGCGAGUGGCGGACGGGUGAGGAAUACAUCGGAAUCUACUUUUUCGUGGGGGAUAACGUAGGGAAACUUACGCUAAUACCGCAUACGACCUACGGGUGAAAGCAGGGGAUCUUCGGACCUUACGCGAUUGAAUGAGCCGAUGUCGGAUUAGCUAGUUGGCGGGGUAAAGGCCCACCAAGGCGACGAUCCGUAGCUGGUCUGAGAGGAUGAUCAGCCACACUGGAACUGAGACACGGUCCAGACUCCUACGGGAGGCAGCAGUGGGGAAUAUUGGACAAUGGGCGCAAGCCUGAUCCAGCCAUACCGCGUGGGUGAAGAAGGCCUUCGGGUUGUAAAGCCCUUUUGUUGGGAAAGAAAAGCAGCAGGUUAAUACCCCGCUGUUCUGACGGUACCCAAAGAAUAAGCACCGGCUAACUUCGU